rnacentral:rRNA from 1 species
GACGAACGCUUUCGGCGUGCUUAACACAUGCAAGUCGAACGGAAAGGCCCUGCUUUUGUGGGGUGCUCGAGUGGCGAACGGGUGAGUAACACGUGAGUAACCUGCCCUUGACUUUGGGAUAACUUCAGGAAACUGGGGCUAAUACCGGAUAGGAGCUCCUGCUGCAUGGUGGGGGUUGGAAAGUUUCGGCGGUUGGGGAUGGACUCGCGGCUUAUCAGCUUGUUGGUGGGGUAGUGGCUUACCAAGGCUUUGACGGGUAGCCGGCCUGAGAGGGUGACCGGCCACAUUGGGACUGAGAUACGGCCCAGACUCCUACGGGAGGCAGCAGUGGGGAAUAUUGCACAAUGGGCGGAAGCCUGAUGCAGCAACGCCGCGUGCGGGAUGACGGCCUUCGGGUUGUAAACCGCUUUCGCCUGUGACGAAGCGUGAGUGACGGUAAUGGGUAAAGAAGCACCGGCUAACUACGUGCCAGCAGCCGCGGUGAUACGUAGGGUGCGAGCGUUGUCCGGAUUUAUUGGGCGUAAAGGGCUCGUAGGUGGUUGAUCGCGUCGGAAGUGUAAUCUUGGGGCUUAACCCUGAGCGUGCUUUCGAUACGGGUUGACUUGAGGAAGGUAGGGGAGAAUGGAAUUCCUGGUGGAGCGGUGGAAUGCGCAGAUAUCAGGAGGAACACCAGUGGCGAAGGCGGUUCUCUGGGCCUUUCCUGACGCUGAGGAGCGAAAGCGUGGGGAGCGAACAGGCUUAGAUACCCUGGUAGUCCACGCUGUAAACGGUGGGUACUAGGUGUGGGGUCCAUUCCACGGGUUCCGUGCCGUAGCUAACGUUUUAAGUACCCCGCCUGGGGAGUACGGCCGCAAGGCUAAAACUCAAAGGAAUUGACGGGGCCCCGCACAAGCGGCGGAGCAUGCGGAUUAAUUCGAUGCAACGCGUAGAACCUUACCUGGGUUUGACAUGGAUCGGGAGCGCUCAGAGAUGGGUGUGCCUCUUUUGGGGUCGGUUCACAGGUGGUGCAUGGCUGUCGUCAGCUCGUGUCGUGAGAUGUUGGGUUAAGUCCCGCAACGAGCGCAACCCUUGUUCACUGUUGCCAGCACGUUAUGGUGGGGACUCAGUGGAGACCGCCGGGGUCAACUCGGAGGAAGGUGGGGAUGACGUCAAGUCAUCAUGCCCCUUAUGUCCAGGGCUUCACGCAUGCUACAAUGGCUGGUACAGAGAGUGGCGAGCCUGUGAGGGUGAGCGAAUCUCGGAAAGCCGGUCUCAGUUCGGAUUGGGGUCUGCAACUCGACCUCAUGAAGUCGGAGUCGCUAGUAAUCGCAGAUCAGCAACGCUGCGGUGAAUACGUUCCCGGGGCU